GACGAACGCUGGCGGCGUGCUUAACACAUGCAAGUCGAACGGAAAGGCCCUGCUUUUGUGGGGUGCUCGAGUGGCGAACGGGUGAGUAACACGUGAGUAACCUGCCCUUGACUUUGGGAUAACUUCAGGAAACUGGGGCUAAUACCGGAUAGGAGCUCCUGCUGCAUGGUGGGGGUUGGAAAGUUUCGGCGGUUGGGGAUGGACUCGCGGCUUAUCAGCUUGUUGGUGGGGUAGUGGCGUACCAAGGCUUUGACGGGUAGCCGGCCUGAGAGGGUGACCGGCCACAUUGGGACUGAGAUACGGCCCAGACUCCUACGGGAGGCAGCAGUGGGGAAUAUUGCACAAUGGGCGGAAGCCUGAUGCAGCAACGCCGCGUGCGGGAUGACGGCCUUCGGGUUGUAAACCGCUUUCGCCUGUGACGAAGCGCGAGUGACGGUAAUGGGUAAAGAAGCACCGGCUAACUACGUG
rnacentral:rRNA from 1 species